CGCUUGACAAUGGGCGAAAGCCUGAUGCAGCAACGCCGCGUGAGCGAUGAAGGCCUUCGGGUCGUAAAGCUCUGUCCUCAAGGAAGAUAAUGACGGUACUUGAGGAGGAAGCCCCGGCUAACUACGUGCCAGCAGCCGCGGUAAUACGUAGGGGGCUAGCGUUAUCCGGAAUUACUGGGCGUAAAGGGUGCGUAGGUGGUUUCUUAAGUCAGAGGUGAAAGGCUACGGCUCAACCGUAGUAAGCCUUUGAAACUGGGAAACUUGAGUGCAGGAGAGGAGAGUGGAAUUCCUAGUGUAGCGGUGAAAUGCGUAGAUAUUAGGAGGAACACCAGUUGCGAAGGCGGCUCUCUGGACUGUAACUGACACUGAGGCACGAAAGCGUGGGGAGCAAACAGGAUUAGAUACCCUGG
rnacentral:rRNA from 1 species